UAAUUUCUUGCCAGCACCCGCGGUAAUACGAAGGCACCUAGCGUAAUUCGGAAUUACUGGGCUUAAAGGGCGCGUAUGGGGUUGAAAGGGUCAGAGGGGAAAUCCCAAAGCUUAACUUUGGAACUGCCAUCGAAACUUUUUAACUGCAGUAUGAUAGAGGAAAGUGGAAUUUCUAGUGUAGAGGUGAAAUUCGUAGAUAUUAGAAAAAAUACCUAUUGCUAACGCAGCUUUCUGGAUCAUUACUGACACUGAUGAACGAAAGCGUGGGGAGCGAAAAGAAUUAGAUACCCUCGUACUCCAUGCCGUAAACGAUGAGUGCUAGACGUUGGAAAUUUAUUUUCAGUGCCGAAUAAACCGCAAUAAAUUCCCCGCCUGGGGAGUACGACCGCCACGUUAAAACUCCAAUGAAUUGACGGG
rnacentral:rRNA from 1 species